rnacentral:lncRNA from 1 species
GCAAAGCAGCUAUGGAAGUAAAGAAUGGAGGGAAACAAUUUGAUCCAGGACCCUCUUACAGUCUAGCUGAUGAUAAUCCAUGAUAGUGGUUACUUGGAAUAUAAGGGGACUAAAUCAGUCUCCUAAACAGAAGGAGUUGAAGCAAUUCCUUACUGAUAAUAAAGUAGAUAUAAUUGGUAUACUUGAAACUAGAGUUAAGGAGCAUAAAUCUAAAAAGAUCUUUGAUAGAAUUUCAAAAGGUUGGAAAUGGC